rnacentral:rRNA from 1 species
UACAGAGGGGGCAAGCGUUGUUCGGAAUUACUGGGCGUAAAGGGCGCGUAGGCGGCCUGCUAAGUCGAACGUGAAAUCCCCGAGCUCAACUCGGGAACUGCGUCCGAUACUGACAGGCUUGAAUCCGGGAGAGGGAUGCGGAAUUCCAAGUGUAGCGGUGAAAUGCGUAGAUAUCUGGAGGAACACCGGUGGCGAAGGCGGCAUCCUGGACCGGCAUUGACGCUGAGGCGCGAAAGCUAGGGGAGCAAACGGGG